GGUGUGACUGCGUACCUUUUGUAUAAUGGGUCAGCGACUUAUAUUCUGUAGCAAGGUUAACCGAAUAGGGGAGCCGGAGGGAAACCGAGUCUUAACCGGGCGUUAAGUUGCAGGGUAUAGACCCGAAACCCGGUGAUCUAGCCAUGGGCAGGUUGAAGGUUGGGUAACACUAACUGGAGGACCGAACCGACUAAUGUUGAAAAAUUAGCGGAUGACCUGUGGCUGGGGGUGAAAGGCCAAUCAAACCGGGAGAUAGCUGGUUCUCCCCGAAAGCUAUUUAGGUAGCGCCUCGUGAAUUCAUCUCCGGGGGUAGAGCACUGUUUCGGCUAGGGGGCCAUCCCGGCUUACCAACCCGAUGCAAACUGCGAAUACCGGAGAAUGUUAUCACGGGAGACACACGGCGGGUGCUAACGUCCGUCGUGAAGAGGGAAACAACCCAGACCGCCAGCUAAGGUCCCAAAGUCAUGGUUAAGUGGGAAACGAUGUGGGAAGGCCCAGACAGCCAGGAUGUUGGCUUAGAAGCAGCCAUCAUUUAAAGAAAGCGUAAUAGCUCACUGGUCGAGUCGGCCUGCGCGGAAGAUGUAACGGGGCUAAACCAUGCACCGAAGCUGCGGCAGCGACGCUGAUGCGUUGUUGGGUAGGGGAGCGUUCUGUAAGCCUGCGAAGGUGUGUCGUGAGGCAUGCUGGAGGUAUCAGAAGUGCGAAUGCUGACAUAAGUAACGAUAAAGCGGGUGAAAAGCCCGCUCGCCGGAAGACCAAGGGUUCCUGUCCAACGUUAAUCGGGGCAGGGUGAGUCGACCCCUAAGGCGAGGCCGAAAGGCGUAGUCGAUGGGAAACGGGUUAAUAUUCCCGUACUUGGUGUUACUGCGAAGGGGGGACGGAGAAGGCUAUGUUGGCCGGGCGACGGUUGUCCCGGUUUAAGCGUGUAGGUGUGUGUUCCAGGUAAAUCCGGUUCACUUUAACACUGAGGCGUGAUGACGAGGCACUACGGUGCUGAAGCAACAAAUGCCCUGCUUCCAGGAAAAGCCUCUAAGCAUCAGGUAACAUCAAAUCGUACCCCAAACCGACACAGGUGGUCAGGUAGAGAAUACCAAGGCGCUUGAGAGAACUCGGGUGAAGGAACUAGGCAAAAUGGUGCCGUAACUUCGGGAGAAGGCACGCUGACACGUAGGUGAAGUGAUUUACUCAUGGAGCUGAAGUCAGUCGAAGAUACCAGCUGGCUGCAACUGUUUAUUAAAAACACAGCACUGUGCAAACACGAAAGUGGACGUAUACGGUGUGACGCCUGCCCGGUGCCGGAAGGUUAAUUGAUGGGGUCAGCGCAAGCGAAGCUCCUGAUCGAAGCCCCGGUAAACGGCGGCCGUAACUAUAACGGUCCUAAGGUAGCGAAAUUCCUUGUCGGGUAAGUUCCGACCUGCACGAAUGGCGUAAUGAUGGCCAGGCUGUCUCCACCCGAGACUCAGUGAAAUUGAACUCGCUGUGAAGAUGCAGUGUACCCGCGGCAAGACGGAAAGACCCCGUGAACCUUUACUAUAGCUUGACACUGAACAUUGAGCCUUGAUGUGUAGGAUAGGUGGGAGGCUUUGAAGUGUGGACGCCAGUCUGCAUGGAGCCGGCCUUGAAAUACCACCCUUUAAUGUUUGAUGUUCUAACGUGGACCCGUGAUCCGGGUUGCGGACAGUGUCUGGUGGGUAGUUUGACUGGGGCGGUCUCCUCCUAAAGAGUAACGGAGGAGCACGAAGGUUGGCUAAUCCUGGUCGGACAUCAGGAGGUUAGUGCAAUGGCAUAAGCCAGCUUGACUGCGAGCGUGACGGCGCGAGCAGGUGCGAAAGCAGGUCAUAGUGAUCCGGUGGUUCUGAAUGGAAGGGCCAUCGCUCAACGGAUAAAAGGUACUCCGGGGAUAACAGGCUGAUACCGCCCAAGAGUUCAUAUCGACGGCGGUGUUUGGCACCUCGAUGUCGGCUCAUCACAUCCUGGGGCUGAAGUAGGUCCCAAGGGUAUGGCUGUUCGCCAUUUAAAGUGGUACGCGAGCUGGGUUUAGAACGUCGUGAGACAGUUCGGUCCCUAUCUGCCGUGGGCGCUGGAGAACUGAGGGGGGCUGCUCCUAGUACGAGAGGACCGGAGUGGACGCAUCACUGGUGUUCGGGUUGUCAUGCCAAUGGCACUGCCCGGUAGCUAAAUGCGGAAGAGAUAAGUGCUGAAAGCAUCUAAGCACGAAACUUGCCCCGAGAUGAGUUCUCCCUGAGACUUAGAGUCUCCUGAAGGAACGUUGAAGACGACGACGUUGAUAGGCCGGGUGUGUAAGCGCAGCGAUGCGUUGAGCUAACCGGUACUAAUGAACCGUGAGGCUUAACCUUACAACGCCGAAG
rnacentral:rRNA from 1 species